GACGAACGCUGGCGGCGUGCCUAAUACAUGCAAGUCGAACGCAGUGGGGACGGGUGCGUAACACGUGGGUAACCUCCAAUCAGAGGGGAUAACACUUGGAAACAGGUGCUAAACCGAUACUGAUGGAUGGACCCGGGGUGCAUUCGCUAGUUGGUGAGGUAACGGCUCACAAUGGCCACGAUGCAUAGCCGCCCUGAGAGGGUGAUCGGCCACACUGGGACUGAGACACGGCCCAGACUCCUACGGUAGGAAGCAGUGGGGAAUAUUCGGCAAUGGACGAAAGUCUGACCGAGCAACGCCGCGGGAGUGAAGAAGGUUUUCGGAGCGUAAAUCUCUGUUGUUAGGGAAGCGGGAUCUAAAGAAAAAGCCACGGCUAACUACGUGCCAGCAGCCGCGGUAAUAG
rnacentral:rRNA from 1 species